rnacentral:rRNA from 1 species
UACGGAGGGUGCAAGCAUUAAUCGGAUUUAUUGGGCGUAAAGGGGGCGUAGGCGGAAGUGAAAGCCAGAUGUGAAAUCCCGGGGCUCAACCCCGGAACAGCAUUUGGGACUCUACAUCUAGAGGAUAGGCGGAGAAAACGGAAUUCCACAUGUAGCGGUGAAAUGCGUAGAUAUGUGGAAGAACACCGGUGGCGAAGGCGGUUUUCUAGCUUAAUCCUGACGCUGAGGCCCGAAAGCUAGGGGAGCAAACAGG